rnacentral:rRNA from 1 species
UACGUAGGGUGCGAGCGUUGUCCGGAAUCAUUGGGCGUAAAGCGCACGUAGGCGGUUCGUUAUGUCGGAUGUGAAGGCCCUUGGCUUAACCGAGGAAGUGCAUCCGAAACUGGCGAGCUAGAGUACGAAAGAGGAUCGCGGAAUUCCCGGUGUAGAGGUGAAAUUCGUAGAUAUCGGGAGGAACACCGGUGGCGAAGGCGGCGAUCUGGGUCGAUACUGACGCUGAGGUGCGAAAGCGUGGGGAGCGAACAGG